CAGCGGGUUAAAGUCCCGUCCAAAGAGUUGUCCAUACGCCUUGGUAGUACGCAGGAGCGGCGUUUGAGCAAUCAAGGGUCGUGAGUUCCUAAACGGCAAAGAUGCAGGCCGUAACGCAA
rfam:Methylomicrobium alcaliphilum str. 20Z chromosome, complete genome.